GGAGUUAGCCGGUGCUUCUUCUGUGAGUGAUGUCCUUCCUGCCGGCUAUUAACCCGCAGGCCUUCUUCCUCACUGAAAGUGCUUUACAACCCGAAGGCCUUCUUCACACACGCGGCAUGGCUGGAUCAGGGUUGCCCCCAUUGUCCAAUAUUCCCCACUGCUGCCUCCCGUAGGAGUCUGGGCCGUGUCUCAGUCCCAGUGUGGCUGAUCAUCCUCUCAGACCAGCUACGGAUCGUCGCCUUGGUGAGCCGUUACCUCACCAACCAGCUAAUCCGACAUAGGCUCAUCCGAUAGCGCGAGGCCCGAAGGUCCCCCGCUUUCCCCCGUAGGGCGUAUGCGGUAUUAGCCUGGGUUUCCCCAUGUUAUCCCCCACUACCGGGCAGAUUCCUAUGCAUUACUCACCCGUCCGCCGCUCGCCACCAGGGAGCAAGCUCCCCGUGCUGCCGCUCGACUUGCAUGUGUUAGGCCUGCCGCCAGCGUUCAAUCUGAGCCAGGAUCAAACUCUGA
rnacentral:rRNA from 1 species